rnacentral:rRNA from 1 species
CGGGACACGUGGUAUCCUGUCUGAAUAUGGGGGGACCAUCCUCCAAGGCUAAAUACUCCUGACUGACCGAUAGUGAACCAGUACCGUGAGGGAAAGGCGAAAAGAACCCCGGCGAGGGGAGUGAAAAAGAACCUGAAACCGUGUACGUACAAGCAGUGGGAGCACAGAGCAAUCUGUGUGACUGCGUACCUUUUGUAUAAUGGGUCAGCGACUUAUAUUCUGUAGCAAGGUUAACCGAAUAGGGGAGCCGAAGGGAAACCGAGUCUUAACUGGGCGUUAAGUUGCAGGGUAUAGACCCGAAACCCGGUGAUCUAGCCAUGGGCAGGUUGAAGGUUGGGUAACACUAACUGGAGGACCGAACCGACUAAUGUUGAAAAAUUAGCGGAUGACUUGUGGCUGGGGGUGAAAGGCCAAUCAAACCGGGAGAUAGCUGGUUCUCCCCGAAAGCUAUUUAGGUAGCGCCUCGUGAAUUCAUCUCCGGGGGUAGAGCACUGUUUCGGCAAGGGGGUCAUCCCGACUUACCAACCCGAUGCAAACUGCGAAUACCGGAGAAUGUUAUCACGGGAGACACACGGCGGGUGCUAACGUCCGUCGUGAAGAGGGAAACAACCCAGACCGCCAGCUAAGGUCCCAAAGUCAUGGUUAAGUGGGAAACGAUGUGGGAAGGCCCAGACAGCCAGGAUGUUGGCUUAGAAGCAGCCAUCAUUUAAAGAAAGCGUAAUAGCUCACUGGUCGAGUCGGCCUGCGCGGAAGAUGUAACGGGGCUAAACCAUGCACCGAAGCUGCGGCAGCGACGCUUAUGCGUUGUUGGGUAGGGGAGCGUUCUGUAAGCCUGCGAAGGUGUGCUGUGAGGCAUGCUGGAGGUAUCAGAAGUGCGAAUGCUGACAUAAGUAACGAUAAAGCGGGUGAAAAGCCCGCUCGCCGGAAGACCAAGGGUUCCUGUCCAACGUUAAUCGGGGCAGGGUGAGUCGACCCCUAAGGCGAGGCCGAAAGGCGUAGUCGAUGGGAAACAGGUUAAUAUUCCUGUACUUGGUGUUACUGCGAAGGGGGGACGGAGAAGGCUAUGUUGGCCGGGCGACGGUUGUCCCGGUUUAAGCGUGUAGGCUGGUUUUCCAGGCAAAUCCGGAAAAUCAAGGCUGAGGCGUGAUGACGAGGCACUACGGUGCUGAAGCAACAAAUGCCCUGCUUCCAGGAAAAGCCUCUAAGCAUCAGGUAACAUCAAAUCGUACCCCAAACCGACACAGGUGGUCAGGUAGAGAAUACCAAGGCGCUUGAGAGAACUCGGGUGAAGGAACUAGGCAAAAUGGUGCCGUAACUUCGGGAGAAGGCACGCUGAUAUGUAGGUGAAGUCCCUCGCGGAUGGAGCUGAAAUCAGUCGAAGAUACCAGCUGGCUGCAACUGUUUAUUAAAAACACAGCACUGUGCAAACACGAAAGUGGACGUAUACGGUGUGACGCCUGCCCGGUGCCGGAAGGUUAAUUGAUGGGGUCAGCGCAAGCGAAGCUCUUGAUCGAAGCCCCGGUAAACGGCGGCCGUAACUAUAACGGUCCUAAGGUAGCGAAAUUCCUUGUCGGGUAAGUUCCGACCUGCACGAAUGGCGUAAUGAUGGCCAGGCUGUCUCCACCCGAGACUCAGUGAAAUUGAACUCGCUGUGAAGAUGCAGUGUACCCGCGGCAAGACGGAAAGACCCCGUGAACCUUUACUAUAGCUUGACACUGAACAUUGAGCCUUGAUGUGUAGGAUAGGUGGGAGGCUUUGAAGUGUGG